CAGAAAAUAGUUUAUUUAAAAUAUUAAUUUUGGGGAUUAAUGAAGAGUUUCUUAUUCUUUUCUGA
rnacentral:tRNA from 1 species